CUACGGGGCGCUCCAGUGGGGAAUAUUGGACAAUGGGGGAAACCCUGAUCCAGCAAUGCCGCGUGUGUGAAGAAGGCCUGCGGGUUGUAAAGCACUUUCGGUUGGGAGGACUGCUUCUAGCACUAAUAUUGUUGGAAGUUGACGUUACCUUCAGAAGAAGCACCGGGUAACUCCGUGCCAGCAGCCGCGGUAAUAGCGGAGGGUGCAAGCGUUAAUCGGAAUUACUGGGCGUAAAGCGCGCGUAGGCGGCUAGAUCAGUUGGGUGUGAAAGCCCCGGGCUUAACCUGGGAACUGCAUCCGAUACUGUCUAGCUUGAGUACAGGAGAGGAGAGUGGAAUUCCACAUGUAGCGGUGAAAUGCGUAGAUAUGUGGAGGAACACCAAUGGCGAAGGCAGCUCUCUGGCCUGAUACUGACGCUGAGGUGCGAAAGCGUGGGGAGCAAACAGGAUUAGAUACCCCGGUAGUC
rnacentral:rRNA from 1 species